rnacentral:rRNA from 1 species
UACGUAGGGUGCAAGCGUUGUCCGGAAUUAUUGGGCGUAAAGAGCUCGUAGGCGGUCUGUCGCGUCGGAUGUGAAAACCCAGGGCUCAACCCUGGGCCUGCAUUCGAUACGGGCAGACUAGAGUUCGGUAGGGGAGACUGGAAUUCCUGGUGUAGCGGUGAAAUGCGCAGAUAUCAGGAAGAACACCCGUGGCGAAGGCGGUUCUCUGGGACGGUACUGACGCUGAGACGCGAAAGCGUGGGGAGCGAACAGG